rnacentral:tmRNA from 1 species
GGGGAUGUUCUGGUUUUGACAGCACUGAUUUCGGAUGGUAAGCACGUCGGGCGUAGGAAGCUGGCCCGUUAAUCCCAGUUUUCGAGCCAUAACUGGCAACUACAACUAUUCAUACGCUUGCUAAUCUCUCAGAGAUUGAGCAUCAAUCGAUUCCGCCAAGGCUGCGGAACGACGUAUAUCCCUCCAGCUUUAGGCCGGUUCAGUCUGGACCCAGGGGUAUCAUCAAAACCGGAUGCGCGGGGCAGACGCCUCUAGGACCCGCUAAGAUUCAGAGGAUAAGCCCGCGGUGGCCUGCCUUCCGGCAGCUUCGGGCCGACAAUUAAAGAAAGGAUAAGCGUGUAGAAAGCUACCUGGGACUUUGUUUGGACGGCGGUUCGACUCCGCCCAUCUCCACA